GAUGAACGCUGGCGGCGUGCCUAAUACAUGCCAGUCGAGCGAACGGACGAGAAGCUUGCUUCUCUGAUGUUAGCGGCGGACGGGUGAGUAACACGUGGAUAACCUACCUAUAAGACUGGGAUAACUUCGGGAAACCGGAGCUAAUACCGGAUAAUAUUUUGAACCGCAUGGUUAAAAAGUGAAAGACGGUCUUGCUGUCACUUAUAGAUGGAUCCGCGCUGCAUUAGCUAGUUGGUAAGGUAACGGCUUACCAAGGCAACGAUGCAUAGCCGACCUGAGAGGGUGAUCGGCCACACUGGAACUGAGACACGGUCCAGACUCCUACGGGAGGCAGCAGUAGGGAAUCUUCCGCAAUGGGCGAAAGCCUGACGGAGCAACGCCGCGUGAGUGAUGAAGGUCUUCGGAUCGUAAGACUCUGUUAUUAGGGAAGAACAUAUGUGUAAGUAACUGUGCACAUCUUGACGGUACCUAAUCAGAAAGCCACGGCUAACUACGUG
rnacentral:rRNA from 1 species